rnacentral:rRNA from 1 species
GGGGAAAACACCUCUUCCCAUUCCGAACAGAGAAGUGAAGACUAUCUGCGCCGAUGGUACUACAUAAUAUGUGUGGGAGAGUAGGUCGCCGCCAAGU